rnacentral:snRNA from 1 species
GUGCUUGCUUCGGCAGCACAUAUACUAAAAUUGGAAUGACACAGAGAAGAUUAGCAUGGCUCCUGCACAAGGAUGACACACAAUUCAUGAAGCAUUCCAUAUUUUU